CCCUUAGAUGUUCUGGGCGGCCCGCGCACUACAAUUGCGUGUGCAGCGAGUGCCGAAGUAGAGUUUUCCGAGGUAUUCUUGCAAUGCUCGUUUUGAUGGGGAUAGACCCUUGCAACUGUUGGUUUUGAACGAGGAAUUCCUUGUAAGCAUGGUUUAUCAUCCGACGCUGAAUGCGUCCCUGCCCUUUGUACACACCGCCCGUCGCUCCUACCGAUGAGUCGUCCGGUGAAGUUCGUAGACCUCGUGAUCGCGGAUCACUGGGGGAAGCAAAAUGAACCUCGCGGUUUAGAGGAAGGAGAAGUCGUAACA
rnacentral:rRNA from 1 species